GGUUGAAUAAAUAAGGUUUUAAGAUUUGUAAUGAUCUGUAAUCCUAUUUAGGAUGUGCUUUAUUACUUCCUAAGGUUUUAACAAACUUCCCAGGAUUUAAAUGGUAAAUGAAGUCUUUGACCAAUUAGGCCCUUUUAUUUGGGAUGCUAAGUUACUUGGAAAAGCACUGUCGUAAAAUGGUAAACCUUAGGUUGCAUUGCAUGGGUAAAUGCUGUAACUGCCCAAAUAUAUAUGCAAUUCCUAAACUUUUAAUGUUUUGGGAUAAGGUCAUCACUUAAUAUUCUGAUUACCUGAAGUGUUAUGUGUCAUAGAAAUAACCGAAUUUCUUUGUUAAUUGCAUCAUAACGAACUCUCAUCAGAUCUAUAACAGUGUCCAUUUCUGAUCUUUUGUCAUUUAUAAUUGUUCUUAUUCUCUCACAAAACAUGUUUCUUCUUCAAGGAGAUUUAUAAAAAGGACUUUUAGGACAAAUACAGGUAUUUGACAUCUUUAAGGUUAAUACUAAAAUGGGUAAGAAUUUCCAGAGCUAAAAAGCUGCAUUCAAACUGAACAAGAAUUAGGAACAUGGGACUAAAUGAACUGAGGAAGAUUACAGUUUUGUGACUCUUGUUGGAAAUAUUGCUGGCUCUCUAAUGUUUGCUCUUCCAGAUUAAGGAGACUUUCUCUUAAGAUAUGUCAUAACAUGUCAUAAAGAAGUGUCAUAAAGUAUUCAUUUGUAAACUGAAGCAUUUAUCUUUUCUCUCAACCUAAACCCUCUGAAAUUCAAAAACUCUCAGUGAGUAUUCUUUCUUUCAUAGCAAUUACAAUUGUUUGCAUAAAUUCAAUAAGAAUCUGUUCAUCUUGUAACAGGUCACCAUUGGAAAUACUGGUUAUUUUACCAAGGCUUUGACUGGAAUGUCAUAUUUGAGAGUGACAUGCAUAGAUUCAGAUAUGACCAGACAGCUUUAAGGAACUUGGGGUGACUUUAUGAAACAUGGAGCCAUAAAGGAAAUGUUGGCCUGAUGCCUUGCUUACAGAGCUCCCAGCAGCCUCACCAGGUGAAUAAAGAAGGUCACUUCCUGGCAGGUGCAAGAACCUAAGGAUACCUUGGGGACCUGGUGAAGAGGAAUUCACCCAAUUCUACAGGAAGUGAACUGAUGCUGGCUUCUCUUUGUCUUAUUCCAAGUUGGGGCAUGAGAUUUUCCCUGCAUUAGAAGGUUGUUGAGACCUGAAGCCUGGGAAGAUGCAUUGAAAAUUAUACAGGAGCUCGUUGUGAAGAGGUUUUUCUCCCAAGCUCCAGCAUCCAAACUAAAAGUGACCUGUUUGCAGCUUUUGUGUCAUUGACUAUUCUUCUAGGAACUCUUAUCAUUGGAGCCCUCUACCUCCUUUUCAGGAAGGGCCACCUUCAGAGGACCAGUUCAGUCCAGUAUGAUAUCAACCUGGUAGAGACAAGCAGUACCAGUGCCCACCACAGUCAUGGAGAACACUGAAGAAAUAUCACACUGAACAAAAUCAUUCCUUGUUUGUCACAAAGGCAGAAAAUGAAACUCCAUAAGGUAAAAGAGAUCAUAGGAUUUAAUCCUUCUUUCUUCCUUAAAAUAAAAAAGACUGAAAUUGC